rnacentral:piRNA from 1 species
UGAAGCAAACGUAGUGGAACUGGCCCG